rnacentral:rRNA from 1 species
GUNGUNAAAUUUGAUCAUGGCUCAGAUUGCNCGCGUGGCUUAGCAUGCUUUACACAUGCAAGUCGAACGGUAACAGGGUCCUUUCCGGAUAUGCUUGACCGGAAGGUGUGCGAACGGUGUUGCAGUAAUUACCAUCCGNGCAACCGUGCCCUAAAGGUUACGUUUGCGCGUGGGAAUNAACUUUACNUCCCGUAACUGAUACGAAGNGGAGCAAUGCUACCGACAAUGGCGCNUGUUAUACGAAAUGUUUNACACCGUCCCUGAGGAUGCGCGAGANAGGUUUUAGGCGGAACACGCAGGCAAACAUUUACCCNGUUUUAAAAACCCCAGGCGACGGGGGAAAGAGUUUUUAGGGGCACAACAAUAGANAUAUAUGAGUGUGCCCUGCAAGAUGGAGGCUGGGGGGGGGCUAGGGGGAGAAAUAGUCCCCCCGCGUGUUUUAUUUAUACCCACGGGGUGGGUUGGGGUAGUCCCUGUCCCGNGUUGUUAUUUUUAGGGGAGNGUUUGUGGGGGGCCCUGGUUUUAUAAACAGCCCGNGUUUUUAAAAGAGAGCGGGAAACAAGGGGGUGACCCACUCGAGGAGAGGGGGUGACCGCCGUGUUUUAAUNGGNGCGAAAAAACGAUUUUUAAGNGGAUGGGGGAGUCCCACUCAAACAANGAGGGAGACAACACGUUUUUUUAUUNAAAACACGACGGUGAUGGNGGCGAGUGUUUACCAAACACAAUCGGCGGCGGUUUUNAUAGAUUANACAGGGCGGGACGGGGGNGGAUUAUUAUGGUGGCGACAUGGGGGGC